CUCAUUUCAGGAUGUUGAAGCUGUCUUUUGAACCAUGUUCUCUUCUUAUAGGAUUCUCCUCCUACUCCCUUAAUCCUAACUCGAAAUGCUACGCUUUGAACCUAACCCUUCAACGGCUGCCUGACCUACGAACCCGACUGUCUUCGUCAAACUUUGCUGACUGCUCGGGAGUAAAAUGAUUUUUCCAAUCGCCGACUUUGCCUGUUGAUCA